AGCGGGAUAGGGUAGCCAGGAGAUCCCGCAGGGCUCAUAACCCUGAGAUCGGUGGUUCAAAUCCACCUCCCGCUACCA
rnacentral:tRNA from 1 species